UACGAAGGGGGCUAGCGUUGUUCGGAAUUACUGGGCGUAAAGCGCACGUAGGCGGAUUGUUUAGUCAGGGGUGAAAUCCCGAGGCUCAACCUCGGAACUGCCUUUGAUACUGGCAAUCUCGAGUCCGGAAGAGGUGAGUGGAAUUCCUAGUGUAGAGGUGAAAUUCGUAGAUAUUAGGAAGAACACCAGUGGCGAAGGCGGCUCACUGGUCCGGUACUGACGCUGAGGUGCGAAAGCGCGGGGAGCAAACAGG
rnacentral:rRNA from 1 species